GGAGGUCAAGUGUCACCUUAGGGAAGAGGCGAGUAAUGAUGUUUAGGUAGUGGCUUAGAACCUAAGCGUUUAAGAAGCUCAUUCUAAAGGACAAACGUGUUUGGGGAAAAUGUCAGAUCACAAAGGACGAUGGGAUUCAGGAGGAAGGGAGGCUCCUUGUGGACGUAAGACAAAUUCCGUAAAUGUGACUGAAAAGUAUGGCUUACAUUUCAGUCCCCCAAUUUGUCUGCUACGUUCUAUAAGUUUCUCAACCACUGCCACUUGUCAACCUUGUUCUAGCAUCCAGCCGGAGAAAAAUUGGUAUGAGAUGAUCUCCAAUGGUGUGCAACUUUUAGUCUGGCUGCCAUUGCCAAUAGCAUAAUCAAAUAUUUUGUACAAAGUGUUUUGCAUAUUUUAUGGAAAGGCUAAACCUGGGCCAGUAGGGUGCGUCGUAGUUUGUUAAGGGUAUUGCUAGGUAAAGGGGCCCCUGACCAUUAGGUCCGGUCGUGGACAACUCUGGGGUUGCGGCGCUCAUCUCGUUUUAUUGGCUGAGGGAGCCGGCGUACAGCUUCCAGGUCAUGGGACCAGCAUGACUAAGCACAUGGAAAUGCCGUUUACCUUCCCACCGGAAUGGUUCCUUUUUAUCUACUUGCACUUUGAUGUGCUUUCGAACUGCUAGGUUGGCAGGAGCUGGGACCGAGCAAUGGGAGCUCACCCCGUCGCGGAGAUUCAAACCGCCGACCUUCUGAUCGGCAAGCCCUAGGCUCUGUAGUUUAGAAACUGUAGCUCUGGGAGGGGAAUGCGGGUUUCCUAAAAGCACUGAGGAGCUGCUGCCAACUGAUUUUCCCUCUCCCUGGGAGCCUACUGUGGAAGACAGAGCGCAUGAGGAACGUGCCUCAGAGGAAAACAAACCGAAGGAUGGAGAUGAAAAGCUGCUGCUUCGAGAUCUCUUCACUCCCUGUGUGCCAGAAGGUGCAGGAGGAGAUGAAAGAGGUCUGCCUGCAUGAGCAAGAGGAAUCGGUGUCUGUGGAAAUGACAGGAGAAGAGGGACAGCAGGAGAAAUUGGAGGCACAUGUGAAUGGGCAAGAGGAACAGAAAUGGUUGUGGAAGAGAAAGGGCAACAGGAGGGAUCAGGCUCUUAAUUAGAAGGUUGGUGAUUCGAACCCUCCCAGGGACGGCUGUGGGCAGGAUUGCGGGGGUUGGACUAGGUGACUCUCAGGGUCCCUUCCAACUCUACAAUUCUGUUCUCAGGGCUGAAGUGGGUGAGAUAAAGUCCUCAAAUGUCUUUGCCCCUUGAGCUGUCAGUGGCUCUGUACCAGCUGAACCACAAGUGGAUAUUCGGUUGUCGCUCCCAUGUUCCACUUGUGAGUUUCACAUGGACGUCUGGUUGACCACAGAGGGCUGGACUAGAUGGGCCUUUGGCCUCAUCCUGCAGAGCUCUCCUUCUGUUCUCAUGACAGGCUUUGCAUUGUCGCCGGCAGAAGCGGGAGCUCCAACUCAAGGAGAUUGGUCCGGGAAAGGAGCCAAAACUGGCCUGCGGUUUAUGGCAUGGCGCCAGGUGAUCAGGUCAUCAGGGCAAGCCAGGGCUGCGUUUCAGGCCCACUUUCCCCACCAGGGUUGCCUUCAGCCGGCUGGCUCCCUCCUUGCUUGAAGAAGAACAAACCUUUCUUCCCUUCAGCAGCAACAGCCGCCUCCAAAGAAGAAAAAUCCUGCUGACCAUUAUGUCUAAAAAAGGUUGUGGAAUGCCUGGCUGAGCAGGCCCUCAGGGUAGAACCGCCCAGGCCGGCUGCAGCAUAAUCGAAAUUUAUCCCGUGGAAUCUUCUGUUGUUUUUUAAUGUCGCUCAGCCUUAAAGGUUUUAUCCUACUUUCAACUUUCCCAUGGGAAAAAAAAAAUCUAGCAUGCCGUGAAGGGGACGGACAAUGCUCUCUCUCCCCCAACCCCAAAGCACUGUAAUUAAUUCCAGAAGGAAAUCAGGGAGCAGCAGCAAGAGUGGGAGACACAACAAAAUCUGCAUCAGAUUGAAAAGGAAAUAUAAACUUGUCACCUUGUUAAAGGGGAAACUCUAGCACCUGGCUAGCCUUCUUGGAAAGGUGGCUUCUGGGUAUUCCCGCCCCAGACGAGGGUUGGGGAACAGACUCUCGCUACCCCCAGCUUGGCCCAACAGUCAGGGAGGAUGGGAGUUCAGUUCAGCUCGGGAUGAGCGAAUCUGCCAACUUUGCUUUCUCUCACUUUCCCAUUGUUCCACUCUUAAGGUCUUCUCUCCACAUUUCCACAUCAGCUUGCAGUAUUAUUUUUUUUAAGUCCUCAUGAAGAAGAAGAAGAAGAAAAGUUUGGAUUUGAUAUCCCGCUUUAUCACUACCCGAAGGAGUCUCAAAGCGGCUAACAAUCUCCUUUCCCUUCCUCCCCCACAACAAACACUCUGUGAGGGGAGUGGGGCUGAGAGACUUCAGAGAAGUGUGACUGGCCCAAGGUCACCCAGCAGCUGCAUCUGGAGGAGCGGGGAUCGAACCCGGUUCACCAGAUUACGAGUAUACAGCUGUUAACCACUACACCACACUGGCUCUCAUGAAAAUGUAACAGCAUUUUGGUGCAAUUUUUUUUAGUAUUUAUCUGUCUACUUAUUUAUUGCAUGUAUGUCUCCACCUUUUCCUCCAAAGAUCUCAGCACGGCACGUACAUGGUCAUCCUCCACUCGCUUAACCCCCACAACAACCCUGUGAGGCUGGCAGGCAGUGUGACUGGCCCAAGGUCACCCAGUUGAGAGCUUCAGGGCAGAGUGAGGAUUGGAACUCCGUUUUCCCAGGCCCCAGUCUGACAUUCUAACCUCUCCUCUACAGUCUUGCCUAACAGACCCAUUUUUGCAAAGCGAUUUCCCUUAAUACAAUGCAUUUUUGCGUUAUAUCUUUUACUGUUCACUUUUAUAGGAAGACUUUCCCCUGGUGCAUGCACAAAACUGGGUUUGAGAACUGCAAAAUUUUGAUAAUGUGCACAUUUUGAAAGAUGCGCACCUGUGCAACCACCACACAAAACCAACUGUGGAAUGUUUCAUCUAGUCAUAGAACUACAGGACAGGAAGGGACUCCAAGGGUCAUCUAGCCCAACCCCCUGGGGCUGACAGCAAGAAUGAUAGCUAACUGAUUAUUGGCAGGUGCCCAUCCAACCUCUGUAUAAAAACCUCUAACGAAGCAGAGCCCACCAUCUGAUGCAUGAAACGUUGCAGCGUUUUAGCAGGAAGCUGCAGGAGCUGCUGCAAUAGCUCAGUUGGUAGAGCAUGAGACUCUUGAUCUCAGGGUUGUGGGUUCGAGCCCUGUGUUGGACAAAAGAUUCCCGCAUUGAAGCGGUUGGACUAAAUGACCUUUUGUGGCUCCUUCCAAUUCUAUGAUUCUACACAUUGAUUUAAAACACAGCAGAAUGUCUGCUCUGGAACUUGUGCAGGUGCAAAGAGGGACUGAGAGUAGGAGCAUGGGUGCCCAAUUACUUUGACUGGAAACCUGUGCGUCUUCUUCCCUUCUAGUGCUUCAGUGUGUAUAUCACCACCAGAUUUUCAGCAUAUCUAGCCUUUUGCUGCACAAGUGAAACUGAUAACAAAACUUGAAAAUAAUGCGAGGGAAAAGCUCUGUCUUUUACAGCCUCAAUGCAAGUACUUUUCUUUCUCCACAAGGAUACUGAAGCUGAAAGCAGGGACGUAAUGCUUCUCUUAGGCUGACCCCAGAGGCAUCUAUUUCCUUUCAUCAUCUCCUCACUUUCUACCUUCCAGUCUGUCCAACAUGCCUUUUUUAACCUGCAAGUUCAUGGCCCUUGUAAGUGGCUUAAGCACGGCAGGGGAGCUGACCUCUUAAUCCUAGGUGAACACUUAGUCUUUAAAUUUCAGCAAAGUUUAGCUACCGCAUACACUUAAAGGGGACACUGGGAAGAAAUGCCAAUUGUAAUCUCCCCUCAGCUUAAAUCCCCUCCUGCCUCGUCAUCAAAACCUCCUUUUUUAGGUGGGUGGGAAGAGUCGGUAUGAAAUGACCAUUUAAUGCCCUGCCAACUUGUGACAGUCCGUAGAGACAGGCAAAUCCAUUUCAGUUUCUCAUUUGUCCAGUCUUAAAUUCAGUUCUCCAUGUUUCCACACCAGCUUGUAAUUAAACAAACAAACAAACAAACAAAAUCCACCAAUCCUCAUUGUAGUACAAUUUUUCCUCAAUUAACACAUUUUUGUAUGUAAUCUUGUUUAAUACAUCCUUCCUUCCUUCCUUCCUUCCUUCCUUCCUUCCUUCCUUGGAAUAUGUUAAAGAGAAGAUUGCAGGCCAGUGUAAAAAUACUGGCUAAGCUUCCUUUCAAAGCUAGGACUUCACCUGGGAAAGAGAUGUUAACAUGACAAGAAGUGUUGAGGGCCCGUAACAGAGGAACCCUUGGACAGAGGAUGGCCAAGGUGGUGGGUUAGGGAGAGACAUCGCAAUGUUGGCUCCCCCAAUCACACUCGGAAGCUGGCGCCUCUGACCCUAACUGUUCCCCUACGAAAAUUUUCACUGCCCACCACCCGGAACCCCUUGCAAUCUUGCUACCACUCGGCAGACAAUGGAGGUGGUACCCAACUUCUGUAACAGUAUUAUUUCCAAACUACUGAGCACACCACUUUAGAACCAGGGUGGCAAACCCUGUGGCCCUCCAGAUGUUCCCAUCACUUCCAGUCGGCAUGGGCAGUGGUCGCGGAUGAUGGGAACCAGAGUCCGGCCACAUCUGGUUUAGAGGAAGGCAAAGCUUAAAAAAAGUUUAAAAAAAUAAGGUCCGUAUAGUUAAAGCUAUGGUUUUCCCAGUAGUGAUGUAUGGAAGUGAGAGCUGGACCAUAAAGAAGGCUGAUCACCGAAGAAUUGAUGCUUUUGAAUUAUGGUGCUGGAGGAGACUCUUGAGAGUCCCAUGGACUGCAAGAAGAUCAAACCUCUCCAUUCUGAAGGAAAUCAGCCCUGAGUGCUCACUGGAAGGACAGAUCCUGAAGCUGAGGCUCCAAUACUUUGGCCACCUCAUGAGAAGAGAAGACUCCCUGGAAAAGACCCUGCUGUUGGGAAAGAUGGAGUGCACAAGGAAACGGGGACGACAGAGGACGAGAUGGUUGGACAGUGUUCUCGAAGCCACCAGCAUGAGUUUGACUAAGCUGCGGGAGGCAGUGGAAGACAGGAGAGCCUGGCGUGCUCUGGUCCAUGGAGUCGCGAAGAGUCGGGCACGACUAAACGACUAAACAACAACAACAACAAAAGCUAAAAAUCUCCAGAUUAUUCCAAACAGAAGUGCACAGCUCCCCUUUCCCCUGCAGCUUCCAGGAGAUCUCGUGCAUGCCUCAAGAGUACCAAACCCGGCCUUGACAUCAAUCAUGUGGUGUCUGAGUUUGCCUUUCCCCCCAUCUCUUCUCUUCCUUCCUCGCCCCGUUUCCCUUUUGUUCCCUGCCCUUCUUUAUUGAAAGCCCGAGGGGCAGAGACUGAGCUUUUAUGGCUCUGCGUGAGGCUGCGGUAGCCUUUCCUGGCUGAAGAGCAAGGUAUAAAUGUUCCGAACAAAUACGAGUUCAAAAGUCUCUGCGACUGGGUGGCAGCUGUUUCUUGAAAGCUUGUCUAGAACUUUUUGCAGAACGGGUGGGAAGGAGGAGGAAGGGGGAGAUGGUGGCGGGGAACUCCAUGUGACCAUCCCAGUUACUCACGCCCCAUCCAGAGCGAACAAAAGGCUUUAAAGCGCUGCUGCCCACGUAGGCUGUCUAGUUGGCUGCAAAUGAGCUAUUUUGCUCUAAUGAGGCAUCUCUCUCCCCCCCCCCGUACUGUACCAAGGAAGCCCAGAUUGCACACGAAGCAUGAAAUCCAGACUGCGGGAACAGACGCCGAGCAGAACAUGCUUCUUCCCCUGCCCUUUGUGGUGGUUUUGGAGCUUCCAAAAACAGAUGGAGAAACGAACUGCCUGUGUCCCUUCAUCCUCCAAAACGCCUGUUCUGUGCCUGGGAUUAUACACAAGGGUCAAGACAGUGGCCCGUUUUAUUUUUAUUUAUGAAAUGUGUAUACAGUGGCACCUUGGUUCUCAAACACCUUGGUACUCGAACAACUUACCUGCAAGCACUGCAAACCCGGAAGUAAGUGUUCUGGUUUGCAGACCUUUUCUCGGAAGCCUAAUGUGCUCUGUUUUGAGUGUUACGCUUCUGUUUUGAGUGUUACGCUGAGGUCUGUCUGUUUUUGCUAUUUAUUUUGCGUUUUUGUUUUCGCAGCUCUUUUUGUUUUGACUGUGUGGAACCCAGUUCAGCUACUGAUUGAUUUGAUUGUGUGACUGCAGUACAUUGUUUAUUGCUUUCAUUUUAUGGCUCAAUGGUCUCGUUAGAUAGUAAAAAACACAUGUUAAAUUGCUGUUUUAGGGGUUGUUUUCAAAAGUCUAGAACGGAUUAAUCCAUUUUGCAUUACUUUCUAUGGGAAAGCGAGCCUUGGUUUUGGAACGGACUUCCGGAACAGAUUAAGUUUGAGAACCAAGGUACUACAGUACCGCCUUUGAUCCGAGGGCGGUUCACGACAUAAAAAUACAACAUGAGAGCACAAAACACAUAAUAAAACAGAAUCAAUCCAGGAGCACCACUCCCAUGAACACAUUUCAGAGGACAUAAGGCCCUUGCCUGAAACCCUGGAGAGCUGCUGCCAGUCAGUGCAGGCAGUACUAAGUGAGAUGCACCAAUGGCCUGACUUGGCAUAACACAGCUUUCUAGCAUAGUAGAUACUAUCACGGUAAAGUAAAUAAAAAUGCUGCUGUUGCAGUCACAGGAGAGGCAGCCAAGAAAAUAUUUGUCCAUCUCAUGCAUAGGGCUGGGGACCCACCGGGGCAUAGCAGCUAGGCUGGGCAGGUUUGGGUUCAAAUCCCAUUAUUAAAUCUCCGUUCACAACUAAUUUCUCCAUAUAAUCACAUCACGGCACCAGACCUGCUGCUCUGUCUCAUGGUAUUAUGUACCACAGACCGAAAAAAGGCACUCCGUAGGUGUGUGGGAGGCAGCCUUUGAGGGGAAAUCAUCGAUAAUAAAAAGCUUUCUUCCUCUGAAAACAAUUAGCGUCCCAGCUCUCCAAAUCCCGGUGCUCUAAAGCUGCUCAAAGGAGCAUUUCCGUUACCUGUGUUAAAACAGAUCAAGUUGAGUAAUUGCACGUUAAAUAUUAUGAUUUCACCACAAGGUAACUCUCUGCUAAAAGGUAUCGUGGGUGUUUUGCCGAGCUCCACGUAAAGUGCACUCAAGCCACAUGUUAUUUCCUAAAUAGAUUUCUUUCUUUCUUUCCUUCUUUUUCACAAAGAACAUUAUGUAUUACUGGGAGGGAGGAACUUCGCAAGAUCUCAGCAGCAACACCCAACUCAACCAGAAUGCAGCUGUUCUGCAAGACAACAAGCAAUUUAGGGCAUCUCCAUAUCACCUGCUUAUGCCCGUGUUUAUCCUGGUUUGCUUGUGCAAGGCUUACACAGUGGUGAGACUAUGCCCAGUUUUUAUUCAGCAGCCAUUCUGAUUUAUUUAUAGAGUAUGGAAAGCAUUCAGCCUGAUUUACUUACGGGGUAUUUACACAUUUUCUUGUUGGGCCAACUACUCACCCCGCACUUUUCAAUGCUUUUCCCUGUAACUUUCCAAACUGCAAAAAGCCCAUUGUUGUUUAUAGAAGUGGAUUUGUUUUAACUGUGCUUUCUCCCUCACAGAGCUACAAUUCCCAGCACCCUUAAGCUAUAUUGGAUAGUUUAUUGCUUUAUUGUUCGGCGUCCAGCACGCUUCCCCCUGCGAGCCUCUGCAGGUCGUAAAGCAAUUAGCAAUUAGCAAAGUUGCACAGCGGUCGUGUGUCGAAAGAGCAGUAAAUCAGUCCCAAACGUUGCUUCUGUCCUAAUAUCUCUUUAUUGGAACAAAAUAGCGUAUUUACAAUCUCCAACAGCCAUCCGAGUUAAGCUGCAUCUUCUUUCUCUGCUUGCAGCGUCUGAACAGACUGCUUUCGAUUUCCACUCAGCUCACAGCAUACAAAGCUGCUUUCCUCACGUCCUGGCUUACUUCCCUUGUAAGCCCCACCUCUCAGGCUCGAGGCAUAGAAGGUUAACCCUUCACUACACCCAACACCCCCUCUUGUCUCGCGCCUGAGGGGAGAAUCGACCCUUGGUCGUCCCAAACCCAGACCUUCGCAAAACUCUCCAUGUCUUUGGAAGGAGAGUGGCUUCGUGAACCCAUCAGCUAGGUUCUUGGCAGAGGGACAGUACCUCAGCGCAACUAAUCCCUCCUGAACACUCUGGCACACAUUCCGAAAGCGAAUGUCUAGGUGUUUAGUUCUGGCCUUGAAUUGACCCGUUUCGGCCAAACGAAGGCAUGGUUGAUUGUCCUCGAAAACACGUGUCAGCAGACAAUCCACUUCGCAGAGUUCCUGCACUAAGCAAGCUAGAAUCAUAGAAUCAUAGAAUCAUAGAAUCAUAGAGUUGGAAGAGACCACAAGGGCCAUCGAGUCCAACCCCCUGCCAAGCAGGAAACACCAUCAGAGCACUCCUGACAUAUGGUUGUCAAGCCUCUGCUUAAAGACCUCCAAAGAAGGAGACUCCACCACACUCCUUGGCAGCAAAUUCCACUGUCGAACAGCUCUUACUGUCAGGAAGUUCUUCCUAAUGUUUAGGUGGAAUCUUCUUUCUUGUAGUUUGGAUCCAUUGCUCCGUAUCCGCUUCUCUGGAGCAGCAGAAAACAACCUUUCUCCCUCCUCUAUGUGACAUCCUUUUAUAUAUUUGAACAUGGCUAUCAUAUCACCCCUUAACCUCCUCUUCUCCAGGCUAAACAUGCCCAGCUCCCUUAGCCGUUCCUCAUAAGGCAUCGUUUCCAGGCCUUGGACCAUUUUGGUUGCCCUCCUCUGGACACGGUCCAGUUUGUCAGUGUACUUCUUGAACUGUGGUGCCCAGAACUGGACACAGUACUCCAGGUGAGAUCUGACCAGAGCAGAAUACAGUGGCACUAUUACUUCCCUUGAUCUAGAUGCUAUACUCCUAUUGAUGCAGCCCAGAAUUGCAUUGGCUUUUUUAGCUGCCGCGUCACACUGUUGGCUCAUGUCAAGUUUGUGGUCAACCAAGACUCCUAGAUCCUUUUCACAUGUACUGCUCUCAAGCCAGGUGUCCCCCAUCUUGUAUUUGUGCCUCUCAUUUUUCUUGCCCAAGUGCAAUACUUUACAUUUCUCCCUGUUAAAAUUCAUCUGUAGCCACCUCCAACGACACGUUCUCAAGAUGGAGGGGGAGGGAACAGCUGCAGUCGCCUGCGGUUCCUGCGCAAUGUUUGCCAUGUUGCCAAAGGUUGCAGGCAGCUUUACCUGCAGCAAUUGCAUGUUGAUUGCCCUCUUAGAAGACAAAGUCCAGCAACUGGAGAAACGUGUAGCUACGCUCCAAAGAAUUAGAGAGCUAGAGCUCUUCUUGGAAGCAACAGAGCACACCGUCUCCACCAAGGAGGAGACAGGGGACUCCCCUGAGAAGGAGGCUAGUUCACCAACACAGGAGCCAGAUAUAUGGAGAAACGUGACUCAAAGAAGUAGGAGGCCCAGGGUUCGCUCUGAUUGUUUAGAAAUACACAAUCGCUUUGAGGUCCUCUCCCCUAGCAUGGAAGACGAAGAGCAGACUCCAUUUGAGGAUCUCUCCUCAUUACAGUCGAUCAGGUAUAUGAAGACGAGCAGCAAAGUCAGUCCUCAGGGAAUGUGCAGGUGACCUUGGAACGGACAGCUCACGGAAGAACGCCGACCAAACCUAAGAGGAGGCGUGUAGUGGUGAUAGGGGAUUCCCUACUGAGGGGAACAGAAGCAGUGAUCUGUGGGCCUGACAAGAUGUCUCGGGAAGUGUGCUGUCUCCCUGGGGCUAAGAUCCAAGAUGUAACUGAACGACUGCAAGGAAUCAUAAAACCCACUGACAAAUACCCCUUCCUCUUGGUUCAUGUGGGAACCAAUGACACUGCAAGCAAUAGCCUCCAGAAGAUCAAAAGAGACUACGAGGCUCUGGGCAGGAAAUUGAAGCAAUUAAAUGCACAAAUUGUCAUCUCAUCUGUCCUCCCAGUUGAACGACGUGGCCCAGGGAGAGAGGGGAAAAUAGUGGAAGUGAACAGCUGGCUUCGCAAAUGGUGUAAACAGGAACGGUUUGGAUUCUUAGAUCAUGGACUGCAGUUUCUUGAAGAUGGACUUCUGGCAAGUGAUGGGCUACACCUCACAACGGUUGGGAGGAAUGUUUUUGCCAAAAAUCUCAGAAACCUCAUCAGGAGGGCUUUAAACUGACUAAUGUGGGGGAGGGAGACAGUGCUCCUGAAGGUAGGAGUCUAUCAAUUGAUGAAGAUGAUCAUCCAAAAGAUAGAGCAAAUGGAACAAACAGCACGCAGACCUAGUGGUGGGAGGAAAAAAUCCUUAAAUAAGAGUCAUGGGGGAAUGAUUAAUGGACUUCAAUGUCUGUACACUAAUGCGCAAAGCAUGGGAAAUAAACAAGAUGAGCUUGAGCUCUUGGUACAGCAAACUAAAUAUGACAUAAUAGGCAUCACUGAAACCUGGUGGGAUAAGUCCCACGAUUGGAAUGUAAUAAUGGAGGGAUACAAUCUAUUUCAGAGAAACAGACCAGACAAGAAAGGAGGAGGAGUGGCGUUACAUGUCAGGGAUGUGUAUACCUGUGAAGAGAUCCAAGAUUUAGAACCUCAAAGCCAAAGUGAGAGCAUUUGGGUCAAAAUUAAGGGAGAGAAGAAUAACAGUGACCUCAUUGUGGGAGUUUACUAUAGAUCCCCAAGCCAAACGGAGGACAUAGAUGAUGCCUUCCUGGAACAGAUGGCCAAGCAUGCAAAAGGAAGGGAGAUAGUAGUAAUGGGGACUUCAAUUACCCGGAUAUUUGUUGGAUGUCAAACUCAGCCAAGAGCAUAAGGUCAAACAGAUUCCUCACUGGCCUUGCAGACAACUUCAUUGUCCAGAAAGUGGGAGAAGCAACAAGAGGAACAGCCAUUUUAGAUCUGGUCCUAACCAAUGUUGAUGACCUGGUUAGUGGGGUAGAAGUGGAAGGAUCAUUAGGCGCGAGUGAUCAUGCUCUUCUGAAGUUUACUAUACAGCGGAAAGGAGCAGCCAAGCAUACUAGGACUCAAUUUCUUGACUUUAAGAAAGCCGACUUCAUAAAACUUAGGGAAGUGCUGGGUGAGAUCCCAUGGACAGUAAUACUAAAAGGAAAGGGAGUUCAUGAUGGCUGGGAGUUUGUUAAGAGGGAGAUAGUAAAAGCACAACUUCAAGCAAUACCAAUGAGACAGAAACAUGGAAGGUGCCUAAAGAAGCCAGGGUGGCUAUCUAAAGAACUUUUAACUGAGUUAAGAUUAAAAAAGGAUGUGUACAAAAAUGGAAAAGGGGGGGAACCACCAAAGAGGAAUUCAAACAAAUAGCCAGCACGUGUAGACACAAAGUCAGAGAAGCUAAAGCACAGAAUGAACUCAGGCUUGCUAGAGAGGUUAAAAGCAACAAAAAAGGCUUUUAUGGGUAUGUUCAUAGAAAAAGGAAGAACAAAGAAACAGUGGGGUCACUCAGAGGAGAAGAUGGUGAAAUGCAAACAGGGGACACAGAAAGGGCUGAACUCCUCAAUGCCUUCUUUGCCUCAGUCUUCUCCGAUAAAGAAAACAAUGCCUGACCUGAAGAAUUUGGAGCAAAUGAUUCAGCAGAGGAAACACAGCCCAGAAUAACUAAAGAGAUAGUACAAGAAUACUUGGCUAGUUUAGAUGUAUUCAAGUCUCCAGGGCCAGAUGAACUGCAUCCAAGAGUAUUAAAAGAACUGGCAGAUGUGAUCUCAGAACCACUGGCAGUCAUCUUUGAGAAUUCCUGGAGAACAGGCGAAGUCCCGGCAGACUGGAGGAGGGCAAAUGUUGUCCCUAUUUUCAAAAAGGGGAAAAGAGAGGACCCAAAUAAUUACCGCCCAGUCAGUCUGACAUCAAUACCAGGGAAGAUUCUGGAACAGAUCAUUAAGCAAACAGUCUGUGAGCACCUAGAAAGGAAUGCUGUGAUCACCAAUAGUCAGCAUGGAUUUCUGAAAAAUAAGUCAUGUCAGACUAACCUGAUCUCGUUUUUGACAGAAUUACAAGCCUGGUAGAUGAAGGGAACGCAGUGGAUGUAGCCUACCUUGAUUUCAGCAAGGCAUUUGACAAGGUGCCCCAUGAUAUUCUUGUAAAGAAGCUGGUAAAAUGCGGUCUUGACUAUGCUACCACUCAGUGGAUUUGUAACUGGCUGACUGACCGAACCCAAAGGGUGCUCAUCAAUGGUUUCUCUUCAUCCUGGAGAAGAGUGACUAGUGGGGUGCCACAGGGUUCUGUCUUGGGCCCGGUCUUAUUCAACAUCUUUAUCAACGACUUGGAUGAUGGACUCAAGGGCAUCCUGAUCAAAUUUGCAGAUGACACCAAACUGGGAGGGGUGGCUAACACCCCAGAGGACAGGAUCACACUUCAAAACGACCUUGACAGAUUAGAGAACUGGGCAUAGAACUCUACUUCUCUGCAUACCUCUGAAAGAGCACUGAACUCAGCCUCAGUGGAUGAGAGCGCUAUAAGACUUUGUUCUUGGACCUCCAUCCAACUACUGAGUUUCCAAACUUCACCACUAGGCCAGACACAGACUUGCGAUCCUCAAGAUUAGCCCAAUCCGAAUCCACAAAACAAGUCAGUUUGACUUCUCCUUGUGCUGGUAACCUAAGACAAAAGUCUUUGGUUUCCUGCAAAUACCUCAGAACUCUCUUGAUGCCAUUCCAGGCUUGCACACUAGGGUUUGAAGCUUCCCUGCUGAGCAGAUUGACAGCAAACGCUAUAUCAGGUCUGCUCCACUGGGAUAGGUACAACAAACUCCCUAGGGCUGACUGAAACACUUCAGCAUUUUCGAACGCAGCGCGUUCUACUUGCUGGCUGUCCUUCACAAAACUAGUCUCCAUAGGACUUCUCACUCCUGCACAAUCACUCAUCCUGAACUUCUGAAGCAGUUGCUCAAUUUUGUCUUUCUGGCUGAGCAAGAAGCUUCCAUCCUGUGCACGCUCAACAUUGACACCUAGAUAGGUUUUGACAGCACCAAGCUGCUUAAGCUUGAACCGUUUACCUAGCUCUCUGGCAAACUUCUCUGCCUGUUUAUCUGUCUCUGAGAAGUAUAACAAAUCAUCAACCCAAAUCUGCAAAUACUCUUGUGUUGCACCUGGUCCUCUCAAAUAAAGGCAACUAUCAGCAACACUUCUUCUGAAACCUAGCUCUUCUAAGGCUUCAUUCAGGCACAUGUUUCAGUUUCUAGCAGAUUGACGUAAUCCAUAGAUGGAUUUGUGCAAUCUCCACACAACACCCUGCCUCAAGUUCUCAAACCCCGGAGGAGGAAUCAUGUACAGCUCCUCCUGGAGAUCUGAGUUUAGGUAGGCAACAUCCACAUCAAAGUGGUUUACCUUCCAGCCUCUCUGUGCUGCACAAGCUAAAAGCGUUCUCAGAGUCUCCGCUCGUGACGUUGGCGAAUACACCUCCGUGAAGUGUAUUCCCUUUCUCUGAGUGAAUCCUCGAGCAACUAAUCUGGCUUUAUACUGUGGCUCUCCAGUGUCAGUGGGUUUCAAGCGGUAAACCCACCUGCAACUCACAGCCUGUUUGCCUGGUGGCAACUCUGUGAGUGAGAACACACCUAGAUCUUUCAUGGACUUCAUCUCUUUGUCCAUUGCCCUGUGCCACUUGCCUGCUUCUUCCUCAGGUAAACUCUGAAUAUCCUCGAAGGAUUCAGGUUCACAUCUGGCUGAACCUACCCAGACGCCUGAAGCUUCAUACCGAUCAGGAGGCCUCCUUGUCCUCGCUGAUCUCCUCAGUGUGAAUCCUGGUGACCCUGCUGCUUCACUGGGUCCAGCUAAAUCAUCCUCAACUUCAGUGUCUUCCCCCUCUGACCUGCUGCGCCUCUUGGGCCUUACAGCUGGUCCAGCAGGUGAGGAAGGCUCACUCUUUGGCUCAGACUUGACACUUGCCUGAGGAGGUGUUCUAGGUUCCCCCCUCUGAGGGAUCCUGAGCUGUCCCUGCCUUGGACUCUGUCCCUGUGGUGGACCCUGUUGCUCUGGACCGUGGUCCCCAGCAACAAGUUCCUCUUCCUCCUCAACGUCUGAGUCAUAGAACGGCUGUGGAAUCACGUCUGGAUUAGCGUGCAGACGUUUCCACCCGGCUUGCUCACAGAACUCAGCGCUAUUGCUGAUAACCAACCUAGACUGGUUUCCACUUGGGUACGCAAACCGCCAGGCCUUUGAGCCAGGCUCAUAUCCUACAAAGAUCAUUCUUUUAGAUCUUGGCUCACCUUUCUUGCGUAGAGCCUUUGGAAUAAGCACCCAGGCCUCACAACCAAACACACGAAGGUAGUGUACCUUAGGCUUCUUUCUAUGCAGCAAGAAAUAAGGUGUAUUUCCUACACUAGAGUUGUACACUCUAUUCUGCGUAUGAACCACAAAUCUCCAGGCUUCAGACCAAUAUUUCUGGGGUAGCCCUGCGUGCCACAGGAUCGCAGACACAGCUUCCUCCACCGUCCUGUUCUUUCUCUCUGCGAUUCCAUUCUGUUGCGGAGAGUAAGGAGCGGACAGUCUGUGGCUAAUCCCCUUCUCCCUGAAGAAAUCCUGUAAAGCAGAACCAGUGAAUUCAAAACCUCUGUCACUUUGAAAGCCACGAACUUUGGUGUAAAAGGUUACCUCAACUGCGGUGAUCCAAUCCCUGAUCAUUUUAGCCGCCUCCCCUUUCUUUCUCAGAGAAAAGGUCCAAGCAGACCUCGAAAAAUCAUCAACCAGAAGCAGAGAAUACUUUGAUCCCCCCAGUGACUCAACUGACAUGGGGCCACACAAAUCUGCUUGAAUUAAUUCAAAGGGUUGUGUGGUCUGUCUCUCUGACUUUGGAUAGGAGCAUGUCACAAUUUUCGCCUGUUUACAUGCAUUGCAAUCUAAAAAUUUGUCACAAGUAUUAAAUUUGCACCCUUGUGUCAGUUCUGGUGCUUUCUUAAGAUACCCCCAAUUCAGAUGGGCGAAGCGUCUGUGCCAAAUAUGCGAACAACCAUGGUGGGGUGCUACAUUCACACAUUGCCCCUUCGCAUCUUCGGUGUCAUCCUCUCCUGUAGAAAAAGGCACACUUACAACAAACAAAUUGCCUUUAGACUGCACUGUGUACACGUGUUUCCCAUCCUUGGAAAACUCAUAUUUGGUGUAUCUUCAUCGUAAAAUAUUCCUGUUUCUCCAGCCCGUCGUCUUCUUUCGCAGAGGUCACUUAAAUUAGCAGACUUCACUCCCCUUCUUCACUUGAAAUAUGUGCAUUUGCUUCUUUUGUAAUUAAUUAUUCAAAAUUGCUGCAACUAGUGCGCGAUCAGAGACAGCGUCCAGGAGAGCCGAUGUCCACAUGGGGGCAUUCUGCCUAGGGCCCUCACCCCCUUCUUUCAAAUUAGGGGGUGAUUUUUGGGCACAGCAGGCAAGGGCAGUGUUCCCCAUUUCCUUGGGGCAACAAGGGAGGCUGCCUACUCCCAUAACAGCCUCUUAAUUACCCCGUGUGGGUCAGAGAGAUGGUAUUGUCGGCCAUCUUCCAAUGCGCCCCCUAGUGGCCCCUCCUGCAAUUUCUUAAAAGACCACUAGAUGGCACUAGCGUAUUUGUCGCUCCAGAGUCUAUGAUGACAGUAAGAAAGUCUUGUUGUUGACAUUCCUGGGUCACCAAGGCAACAAUCUCCUCGCUACCCCCCUCCUUGGGGCCUCUGCAGAUGUCCUCUCUGGUUGUCACGGCAACGGACUCCCCCCGGCACGUCCCCACGACCUUCACAGCUUCCGUAGAUGCAACUCUCUCAGUUGCCUUGGAGACUGGACUUGUCUCAGCGUUCUCACACAACUCCUCCUGAUAGCCGCCUGCUAUCAGCAAACUUCCCAGCUGCGCGACCUUGAAGCCUUUAGCUGAAUUCAGCUUCGCACGGCUAGGCUCCAGCUCUUGGCGUAAACAACUCUUGGCAGCUUUUGGAGAAAGAGGCGUCUCUGAGCUGUCACUGCUCACUGCCCCCCCACUACUCACGGGGCCUCCAGAACAUUUUCCUGCACCCCCUCUGGUGGGUAAAGGGCUCCCAACUCUUGGCCUCUCUCCUGGCUCCUCACACAGACACGUUGCAGCAUCCAUACAGCUCCCAGGCUCAGCAAAAGCACCAGCAGCAUUGCCAGCAACAGCAACAGCAACAGUCCCUUCGCCCCCCUGUGGGGGCUCCCAGCUCCUCCCAGCUGUGUAUUGGCUCUCAAGAAUCUGGCCGGUGCCAUCUUGGCUCUCUCUCUUUGGGGCAGCCACGUCUCGGCCCUUGCUUCCCACCCCAGCUUCACAAGCCUUUCGGAGUGCUUGCCAAGCGGCCUCUGGCCUUUUUGCACCCAGGACAACUGGCACUAGAUGAGCAUCCACACUUUCAGCCAAAAAAGCAAGGACACGCUUCUCCAUGUCACUUUGCUCUGCAGCCUUUUCAGCCUCUGCCUUCCCAGCUGCAUGCUGUGGGGGCUGGACUACGUCCCAGAGCUGCUCCCCCACCAGCAAAAGUUCCACUUGAAAGCUCCACUGUAGCCAAUUUUGGCUAUUCAGUUUCUGACAUGGCAGUUUAAACUCAAAGCCAUGUCCCUGGGGCUGUGCCAUGCCUCCCUUCUCCCUUCUGUGGCGUUUGCAGUACUCACUCAUUUCUGCCAACUGGGUGUUCCGGAAAGACCUGGCAUCGCAGCUCCCUUGCUCCGUCAGCCUCCUCUGAUCUGCCCUUUGAAGUCUUGGCAGUCGAUCAAACUGACGUUCAGCAAAUAAAGCUUCAAAGCCCUUUCUCACACGCUUCGCGUUGACCACCCAUAACCUAUUGGAUAGUUUAUUGCUUUAUUGCUCGGCGUCCAGCACGCUUCCCCCUGCGAGCCUCUGCAGGUCGUAAAGCAAUUAGCAAAGUUGCACAGCGGUCGUGUGUCGAAAGAGCAGUAAAUCAGUCCCAAACGUUGCUUCUGUCCUAAUAUCUCUUUAUUGGAACAAAAUAGCGUAUUUACAAUCUCCAACAGCCAUCCGAGUUAAGCUGCAUCUUCUUUCUCUGCUUGCAGCGUCUGAACAGACUGCUUUCGAUUUCCACUCAGCUCACAGCAUACAAAGCUGCUUUCCUCACGUCCUGGCUUACUUCCCUUGUAAGCCCCACCUCUCAGGCUCGAGGCAUAGAAGGUUAACCCUUCACUACACCCAACAGUUCCCAGGAUUCUUUGGGAGAAAUGUGCUUUAAAUGUGCACUGAGUGUGGAUUUGCCCUGGCUGCAGGCACACUACAGUGGUACCUCGGGUUAAGAACUUAAUUCGUUCUGGAGGUCCGUUCUUAACCUGAAACUGUUAUUAACCUGAGGUACCACUUUGGCUAAUGGGGCCUCCCUUCGCUGCCGCGCCACGAUUUCUGUUCUCAUCCUGAAGCAAAGUUCUUAACCCGAGGUACUAUUUCUGGGUUAGCGGAGUCUGUAACCUGAAGCAUCUGUAACCUGAAGUGUCUGUAACCCGAGGUACCACCGUAUAAUUUUAAGGUACAUUUGUAGCACAGUUUCUCCCUCAAAGAAUUCUGGGCACUGUAGCUUGCUAAGAGUUGCUGGGAAUUGUAAAUUCUGCGAGGGGCAAACUAAAGUGCCCAGAAUUCUUUGACAGAAAGAAUGUACUUGAAAGGGCCGCAGUUCCAAAUUCUGCCGAACGUUAGAUCCAGGGACUUGCACAGUGCUUCAAUUUCUUUCUUUCUUUUUACUGUUUCUCUCUCUCCACCCCUCACUUUUUUUAAAAAAAAAGGUAAACACAUUGUCUGUUUGGCCUAAUGUAUAGCACUGCUCAGACCUUUAUGGAAGACUCCAUGAAUUUCCCCAAUCCUCUUUGAAAGCCUUUAAAAUUGGUGGCACCGCUGCGUCCCGUGGGAGUGAGUUUUAUCGUUUAACUAUUGCACAGUGUGAACUCUUGCACUUUCUCUUCUAUCAAUCCUGAAUUUUUUCAAUCUUCAGCUUCGCUGGGCAUCCAGGAGUUCUUGUCUUAUGAGUGAGGAAUGGAAAUGUUUCUCCAUCCACUGUCCCCAAGCCAACACUCAAAAGUUGCAGUCAUGUGUUAAAAGUCUCUCCCUCCCUCCCUCUCUCUUUUUUUUUCCUUCUGAAGGGAACAAUGGCUUUCCCUGUGAGGAGAAGAGGCUCCCCACUUUGCCAUCUCCUCCUCUCAGUUCUGUCUGCAAAAGGCCUGCGUUUGUCUUUUGUCUAAUCCUUGUCCAAGGACCCAAAGCCUCUCUCUGACUCUUUCUCUUUUCCCGCCCCCUCCCAGCUAACACCAUCUGGGACCUUUGAGCCAAGGGGAAGAAUGUGGGGAUGUAGACAUUCAUGCUAAAUUGGGGGGGGGGGGGGAGAGAAUGUUUAGUCAGCACAUCGCUUCCUCACACGAGCCUGUUCUUUCGGCACAUUAUCAAAGAGGACUGUGGCCUGUUUUGUGGCAAAUGCUAUUUAUUAAGCCAAACGUUCCCAGUGGAACACAGAAAUCGAUGCAAACACACCCACCAGCUAGGUUUAAGGGUUUGACGGCCUCUCUGAGCUGUUGCACCAUCCUGUGAUUCAGAAGCCUAACCCCCUAGUCCUUAAACGCUUGCGGGUAAAGCACUCUGCCUAUGCUCAGCAGCUCUCUUUAAUGCUUCAGGUGCUCUACGGCUGAGCAUUGGAUCAGAUCAAAUUAUAUGGGGGGGAGCCAUAUAAUGUUCCAGAGGAGGAGGGCAGAUAACGUGGACAACAAGUGCAGCUGGAAGAGGAACAAGAUCAAGGAGGGGGCUGGACUAGAUGGUUCUCAGGAUCCCUUCUGACUGUACAAUUCUAUGAUCCUAUGGACUCCCCCUCUGGAUGUUAUUGUAUGACAAUCGCCAUCAGCUCCAGCCAGGAUGUCCGGUUGCUAAGGAUGGUGGAAAUUGUAGUAAGCAACAUCUGAAAGGCACAACAUUGGCUACACCUGAGGAUGGGGAGCGGGUGUGAAUGCAAGGCAUGUGUUUUAGCUCUGCCUAUUUAGGUGUUUUGAAUUAUGGUGUUGGAGGAGACUCUUGAGAGUCCCAUGGACUGCAAGAAGAUCAAACCUCUCCAUUCUGAAGGAAAUCAGCCCUGAGUGCUCACUGGAAGGACAGAUCCUGAAGCUGAGGCUCCAAUACUUUGGCCACCUCAUGAGAAGAGGAGACUCCCUGGUAAAGACCCUGAUGUUGGGAAAGAUGGAGGGCACAAGGAGAAGGGGACGACAGAGGACGAGAUGGUUGGACAGUGUUCUCGAAGCUACCAGCAUGAGUCUGACCAAACUGCGGGAGGCAUUGGAAGACAGGAGUGCCUGGUGUGCUCUGGUCCCUGGGGUCACGAAGAGUCGGACAUGACUAAACAACAACAAAUUUAGGUGUUUAGCCCCUAAGGAAAUUUGGCCUAUUGGGAGGGGAGAAGCUCUUACAUUUAAAACAUGUCUCCCUUUGCAAAAGAAAUAUACAGUGGUACCUCGGGUUACAUACGCUUCAGGUUACAGACUCCACUAACCCAGAAAUAGUACCUCGGGUUAAGAACUUUGCUUCAGGAUGAGAAUAGGAAUUGUGCUCCGGCGGCGCGGCAGCAGCGGGAGGCCCCAUUAGCUAGUGUGGUGCUUCAGGUUAAGAACAGUUUCAGGUUAAGAACGGACUUCUGGAACGAAUUAAGUACUUAACCCAAGGUACCACUGUAUCCUGGAAGCUGUGGUUUAUUCCUACAGAGCUACAAUUCCUGGUACCCUUAAAAAAAAAUGCAGUUCCCAGAAUUCUUUGCAGGAAGCCAUGCAUUUUAAAUGCGCAGGGCAUACAUUGCCCUAGAGCAGCAAAGCACAUGUUCUGUACCCCUGAGCUCCCCCCACCUCCUUUCUUCCACUUGUUCCAGUGGGGGGUUCACAGCCUACGUUGACAAGAGAGCCCUCCUGCCUUAUUCUGCCAUGGGGCGUCCUGCCCAGCUGGGACCACAACAACACCGGGCCCCUCAGGGUGCUCAGAGGAACCCACACGACUCAUGCGCUUAAGUGUUUAUGUUGGCCAAAGAAGUCAGUUUAUGCAAGUGCCCGUUUGAAGUGUGAAAAGGCCACUCGUCGUCUCUUUACAGAGUGUAAACACGCUGCCCUGGUGUAUUUAUGGAACGUGUUGGGAAGGUCAUUUUGAGAAAGGCAUGAUGGCCCGCCUCGCAAGCGCGGCGCUCUUCAGCAUUAGCCAGGAAUGUCUCUGGAGUCAUUCCAGAACCAGGUAUAGCACCUUGAGCUCCCUGGAGGAAGAAAAGGUGGGGCGUAAAUGCAAUAUAUGAAUGAAUGAAUGAGAAAAACCGAGGAAAAACCUAAACAGGAGGAUAAUUAAAAUGUAAUAAUAAAAAUAAAUAAUAGUAAAAAUAAUAAAAUAAAAUAAUAAAAAUAAAUUUUAAAAAAAGCAAAACCCCAUAGUGCCAAGGGAUUGGACUAGAUCAAGAUAAUAGUUCCCUUAAGAGCUGCAGUAUCUCUUAGUCCUUCCUUUGCUUUGCUUAAAUUUGAAGGGGUAUAAAACACCUAGGCAGGAGUUCCACAGGUGGUGCAUCCCAGCACCCCUCCGUACUCACGCUGCCAAACCCUGCAAUCUGCUUGCCACCCAACUCCUUAAUCAUCAGCAUCAAACGCAAAAAUACCAACCCAAACUAUCACUUAGCCUUUGCACAGCGCUUUCAAGGCGUCCAAAGCACUUCACACGCGUAUUAUCUAUAGUUAUAAUCCUCAACAACAGCCCUGUAAGGUAUGAUGACACCUUGCAGACAGGAAGACUGAGGUUGGAAUAAAGCCAUCUUCUAUAUAGCGAAGCUCGAAGCAGGCGUGGAAUCUGAACGAGGGACUUCCUGAUUCACAGCUCUUUCAGCCACUAAUCUUUCUCGCAAUAUUAAAAGGUUUAGAAUUGUUUUAAAAGCAGCAACCUCGCAGCAUUGUCUUGGCUGCCGUCCUGCUUUUGCGCGCGCCUGCAAGAGCGCGAGCAGCCGGGGAAGCGCCCUCUCUCCCCGCCCUCCUCCCUCCCCUCCGGCUCCCAACCAAAACAACACCGCAGGACUACAACUCCCAGCAUCCUCCUCGGCAGCCGUGACCUGGACCCCAGCUGAUAUUCAAAGCUGGCUGGAAAGCGAAGCUCAGAAGAGGAGAGCGCUAGUUUGCAGCGCGGCUGCUGCUGCUGCUGCGACUAACCCCGCAUCGCCGCCACCCACCUUCUUCUGAC